UACGUAGGGUGCAAGCGUUGUCCGGAAUUAUUGGGCGUAAAGAGCUCGUAGGCGGUCUGUCGCGUCGGCUGUGAAAACCCGGAGCUCAACUCCGGGCCUGCAGUCGAUACGGGCAGACUGGAGUUCGGCAGGGGAGACUGGAAUUCCUGGUGUAGCGGUGAAAUGCGCAGAUAUCAGGAGGAACACCGGCGGCGAAGGCGGGUCUCUGGGCCAUAACUGACGCUGAGGAGCGAAAGCGUGGGGAGCGAACAGG
rnacentral:rRNA from 1 species